CCUACGGGGGGCAGCAGUCGAGAAUCAUUCACAAUGGGGGAAACCCUGAUGGUGCGACGCCGCGUGGGGGAAUGAAGGUCUUCGGAUUGUAAACCCCUGUCAUGUGGGCGCAAAUUAAAAAGAUAGUACCACAAGAGGAAGAGACGGCUAACUCUGUGCCAGCAGCCGCGGUAAUACAGAGGUCUCAAGCGUUGUUCGGAAUCACUGGGCGUAAAGCGUGCGGAGGCUGUUUCGUAAGUAGUGUGUGAAAGGCGCGGGCUCAACCCGCGGACGGCACAUGAUACUGCGAGACUAGAGUAGUGGAGAGGGAAGCGGAAUUCUCGGUGUAGCAGUGAAAUGCGUAGAUAUCGAGAGGAACACUCGUGGCGAAGGCGGGUUCCUGGACAUUAACUGACGCUGAGGCACGAAGGCCAGGGGAGCGAAAGGGAUUAGAUACCCUUGUAGUC
rnacentral:rRNA from 1 species